GCCGUGAGGUGUUGGGUUAAGUCCCGCAACGAGCGCAACCCUCACUCUAUGUUGCCAUCGGGUAAUGCCGGGCACUCUUAGGGAACUGCCGGCGAAGAGCUGGAGGAAGGGGGGGAUGACGUCAAGUCCGUAUGCCCCUUAUGUCCAGGGCUACACACAUGCUACAAUGGCCGAUACAGAGGGUUCCCAACCCGCGAGGGGGAGGCAAUCCCACAAAGUCGGUCUCAGUUCGGAUUGCAGGCUGCAACUCGCCUGCAUGAAGUCGGAAUCGCUAGUAAGCGCAGAUCAGCAGGCUGCGCUGAAUACGUUCCCGGGCCUUGUACACACCGCCCGUCACACCACGAAAGCCGGUUGUACCAGAAGUCGCUGAGCCAACCGCAAGGACGCAGGCGCCGAAGGUAUGGUCGGUGAUUGGGGUGAAGUCGUAACAAGGUAGCCGUAGGGGAACCUGCGGCUGGAUCACCUCCUUAACGGAGCAGCGAGUAGGCCAGGGCGAAAGCCCGAAGUCGAAAGCUCUCACGUAGUUCGCUCGCCUCGCAUCAUCCUUGAUCUCAACUCCGAUUCUUACACGCUCGACAGGCGUCGAAGCCUGCCGAGCGCAUUUCGUGCCCUCGUCUCUCAACCCAUCGAGAGCGUUGGAGCAAGCUGUUUGACAACGGAUGUUAGUAGUGAUCGUGGGAUUCGAUGCUUCAGACCUGAUAAGAUCUGGAGCGUCAACGAAUCAACACUGGUUCAAUUUCGUCGCGCUCCGGACAGGAGAAAUCGUGUCCGGAAAGCGAGCAAGAAUUGAUUCAUUCGUAGAUUGCGCGUUGUUGUUUUUUUAUUGUUGUGCUUUGAGACAGAAAUCUGAUCAAGCGAAAGAAGGUAUGUGGGGGAUGCCUGGGUACACGGAGGCGAUGAAGGCCGUGGUAAGCUGCGAUAAGCCAGGGGGAGCGGCACACACGCUACGAUCCCUGGAUGG
rnacentral:sRNA from 1 species